GCACACAGUAGGCACUGAAUAAAUGCAUGCUGACCUCACCUGUUAAGUUUUUCAGAGAAGAGGGCCUGGCCUGUGUAACUUGGGUGAAAUUUCUAUACCAGAGAGGAGCAAGUGUUUCCUAGAGAGCCCUUUCUUUUCUCCAGAAGAUAUGGCUUUUGAAGAAACGGGGCUUCACUGUGUUGCCCAGGCUGGUCUCGAACUCGUGGGCUAAAGUGAUCUGCUCGCCUCAGCCUCCCAAAGUGCCAAGAUUACAGGCAUAAACCACUGCGCCCUGCCAACGAUGACAACCUAACAGCAACGGGCACAUGGCACCCAGACUGUGGUUCCAACUAUAAGGAACCAGGACUCCAUGGAGGAAUAGCUGAUUCCAAGUCCAAGGCAUAAGCAGAGCUCAAAAAAAAGGAAAGAAUACCUGCUCUUGUUAGGUUAAGAAGAAUAAAAGAAGUGCUAUCACUUGGCUGUAGAUCUUGCAACAAGCUAGAAGACUCUGAAGUGGACAAAAACUCCGGGGAUUUCUGUACAGUCUGAGCUCUCGUCUCCUCUCCGUCUGGACCCACAUUCACCCGAAGGCUUCUCAAAACAGCUGAGGAAGGGACCUCCUUGGAGGAGUUAGAAUGAUUUGUAGUAUCAUCUAGUAAAGGGAAAAUACCACAGCUUUAUGUAGCACCUAUCUCUAGGAGCCCACCAUUUUGAUACACAGCACCCAACAUCUCUUGGAAGCUAACAUCCUUAUAGCAACAGACAGCAUUCUCAUUACACAAAUAAAAACUUUGUCUCACAGAAGAA